UGCCAGGUACAGCCGCGCCCCGGGGGCCUCUCUGCGCACAAGUGGGGGCAGUGUCCUGGUCACCCCCGCGGUGACACUGCUGCAGGGAGGGCCAGCUGCAUCCGCAGGGAAAGCCCUGAGAAGCCUCUGUUGCUGCCGAGGCGAGUGGGCCACCCUGAGUGCCCUGGGCUGGGGGCGGCCGGGUCCACAUGGGAGCCUCCCUCCCUCCCAGGGGAGGUGAAGACCCUGAUGAUCCAGCUGCUGCGGGGGGUGAAGCACCUGCACGACAACUGGAUCCUGCACCGUGACCUCAAGACGUCCAACCUGCUGCUGAGCCACGCCGGCAUCCUCAAGCCUCCCACAGCUUCGCGGGCCCUGGCCCUCCUGAACGCCUCUCCUGGCCUCUUAGGAAUACUCCACAGCUGUGGACAUGUGGUCAGUGGGCUGCAUCUUCGGGGAGCUGCUGACUCAGAAGCCUCUGUUCCCCGGGAAGUCGGAAAUCGAUCAGAUCAACAAAGUGUUUAAGGAUCUGGGGACCCCCAGUGAGAAAAUUUGGCCUGGCUACAGUGAGCUCCCAGCAGUGAAGAAGAUGACCUUCAGCGAGCACCCCUACAACAACCUCCGCAAGCGCUUCGGGGCUCUGCUGUCAGACCAGGGCUUCGACCUCAUGAACAAGUUCCUGACCUACUUCCCCGGGAGGAGGAUCAGCGCGGAGGACGGCCUCAAGCACGAGUAUUUCCGCGAGACCCCCCUGCCCAUCGACCCCUCCAUGUUCCCCACGUGGCCCGCCAAGAGUGAGCAGCAGCGUGUGAAGCGGGGCACCAGCCCAAGGCCCCCUGAGGGAGGCCUGGGCUACA
rnacentral:sRNA from 1 species